AUGGCCCCACCAGCAUGGGCACCUUGGCAGGGGGAGAAGGAGAUGCUGCCACCACCACGCAGCAAGGGUGCAUGGCACUGCAAGGGUGUACGGUGCUGCAAGGGUGCAUGGUGCUGCAAGGGUGCACGGUGCUGCAAGGGUGCAUGGUGCUGCAAGGGUGCACGGCGCUGCAAGGGUGCACGGCGCUGCAAGGGUGCACGGUCCAACAAGGGCACAUGGUGCUGCAAAGGUGCAUGGUGCUGCAAGGGUGCAUGGCGCUGCAAAGGCUCACGGUGCAGCAAAGGUGCAUGGCAUGGCAAUGGUGCACAGCACAACAAGGGCACAUGGCGGUGCAAGGGCACAACAGACAGCAAGGGUUCACAGCACAGGAAGGGCACACAGUGCAGCAUGAAUGCACAGCGCAGCAAGGGCACAUGGCGGUGCAAGGAUGCACAGUGCAGCAAGUGUGCACAGUGCAGCAAGGGUGCACGGCACAGCAAGGAUGCACGGUGCAGCAAGGACACAUGGCAGUGCAAGGGUGCACAGCGCAGCAAGUGUGCACAGUGCAGCAAGUGUGCACAGUGCAGCAAGGGUGCACGGCGCAGCAAGGAUGCACGGCACAGCAAGGAUGCACGGUGCAGCAAGGACACAUGGCAGUGCAAGGGUGCACAGCGCAGCAAGUGUGCACAGUGCAUCAAGGGUGCACGGCACAGCAAGGGUGCACGGCACAGCAAGGAUGCACGGUGCAGCAAGGACACAUGGCGGUGCAAGGGUGCACAGCGCAGCAAGUGUGCACAGCGCAGCAAGUGUGCACAGUGCAGCAAGGGUGCACGGCGCAGCAAGGACACAUGGAGGUGCAAGGGUGCACAGCACAGCACAGGCGCACGGUGCAGCAUGGUGCAACACAGCGCAGCACAGCACAGCAUGGUGCAGCUGCAUGCUCCCAGAGCGUCCCAUUGCCCAAAGCUCUCCCCGACAAGCGCCCRUGGGGAGAAGUGCCGCUUCCCAGCGCGCUCCUCUCCGGCCCUGCUCCUGGGCCGGCCGAGCCGUGCUCAGCUCCUUCCCUCYCCGGCUCCCGCAGGCCGACGCGCUGCCACUGGGUCCAGCCGCUCCCGAACCGCAGUGUCCUGGCGGGGGGUGGCUCCCGGGCCCAGGUCCGUCCCCUACAAGUGUAAAUAA
rnacentral:lncRNA from 1 species